GUCUACGGCCAUGCCACCCUGAACAAGUCUGAUGUCUGAUCUCAGAAGCUAAGCAGGGUCAGGCCUGGUUAGUACCAGGUGCUAUAGGCA
rnacentral:rRNA from 1 species